UUUGUACUCCCUCCGUCCCAAAAUUCUUGUCUUAAAUUUGUCUAAAUACGGAUGUAUCUACUUACAUUUUAGUGUUAGAUACAUCUGUAUCUAAACAAAUGUAAGACAAGAAUUUUGGGACGGAGGGAAUACUAC
rnacentral:pre_miRNA from 1 species